ensembl:lncRNA
AUAAGACAGAUGGGCUGUGUGCCGUGUUUGUGUUUUAUUGUUUUGAGUUCAGUAAAUGAGACUCACAUGGGCUGAUAAAGGGACAGGAAAAGAUAAAUGAUCAAUUAGAGGCUUCACCACAAUUGCCUGCAAGUCUCUCUGGUGUCUGUGAAACCAAAGUAGGGAAAUGAGACUGACAGAGAGAAGAAGAGUAAGGGAAAAUGAAAAAUAGAAAGACAAAGAGAUCCAGGGUGUAUUAGGAAAUUCACAUUCAUUCUGUGUGUGGGUGUGUGUGUGAAGCGCUAACACUUCCUCUCUGUGUGGCCGAGCUCAGAUGAGAAGCCUGAUGAGAAGUGGAUUGUGUUUGAUGGGCCAGUGGACACACUGUGGAUCGAGAGCAUGAACUCUGUAAUGGAUGACAACAAAGUCCUCACACUCAUCAACGGAGAGAGAAUCUCCAUGCCCGAACUGGUACCGGUGCCAGACUAAACUCGGCACACACUGAAACCUCUAAUGGCGUCCACCCAGGGUUAUUUCACUUCUGAUUCCAGACCUGAUACUGUGCACUUCACCUCACUAACCCAUCAGGGUCUCAUUAUUGUUUGAAGUGAAGGAUCUAGCUGUGGUGUCUCCUGCGACUGUGUCUUGCUGUGGUAUGGUUUACUACUCUGACUUGACCUGGAAGCCUUAAGUUCAGUCCUGGAUGGAAAAACGACCGAAGGUUGAAAUGGAUCAUCUCAGGCAGCUGUUUGACCACUACAUAGACAAGACCCUCACUUUUAAGAAUACUCACUGUAAGGAGCUGU